rnacentral:rRNA from 1 species
UCCGCCUGGGAACUACGAGCGCUAGCUUAAAACCCAAAGGACUUGACGGUGUCUCAGACCCAACUAGAGGAGCCUGUCCUAGAACCGAUAACCCCCGUUCAACCUCACCAUCUCUCGUUUAUUCCGCCUAUAUACCGCCGUCGCAAGCUUUCCCUGUGAAGGACCAAUAGAAAGCAUAAUGGGGAUCCCCCAAAACGUCAGGUCGAGGUGUAGCUUAUGAGAUGGGAAGAGAUGGGCUACAUUUUCUACCACAGAAAUAUCACGAAUGACCCUGUGAAACCCGGGGUUCUGAAGUGGAUUUAGAAGCAAAAA